AUGGAGCCUGCCUGGGCUCUGAGCCACGGGGAUUCUGGCAAGGCGGUGGCUGGGACAAACCAGCACCUGCAUGCAGCCCUUGGCAGAGUUCCUGGCACAUGGCAAGAGUCCAGGACAUGGAGCUGUCACGACACCAGCUGCCUGGAACCGGCCUGUGCUGUCUGUAGCCGUGACUGCUCUGUCCCUUCGUGGCACCCAUCUCUGUUCUGUGCGAGGCUGGACAUGCUGGAGCCUACGGUGGCUUCCUACGGCAGCCCCCCAGCCACGCUGGGACCUCACAGGGACCCUGUGUCUCCUCUGGCUGCCCGGAGUCACAUGGGCCCCCCUACGACUCCCCCUUCCCUCCCACUGCCUGAAGUCCUGCUCUCUGCUCUCCCUAGCAGUUCACGAAGGCUCAGGAACCAGCAGUCACACAUGGCUGCCAAGGGAGGGGUCCUUGUUUUCGGUGGUCUCCCUGCGCUGUGCUAGGCAGUGAAUGAGCACAAACUCACUGGAUUUCCAUGGCGACCUGGGAGCAGGUGCUCGUAAUUCCAUUCCACAAAUAAGGAAUCCGAGGCUAAAAAAAUCCACAGGAGACCACACGGUUAGCAACGGGCAGAGCCGGGUUUGACGCCAAGCCAGUCUGCUGCCUGAGCUGCAGCCACCCUUGCUCCGGGACACUCUCCGGCACGGCAGACUCAGCUCCUGCCUGGCUCUCAGGCCCCUGCCAAACACCCCACAGGUUCCACCCCAGGCCGUAUUGAGGCUGAACCCUGGAAGCACCGGGCUACAUCCUGGCCCUUUAUUUUGUGACUGGGCCUUGCUAAGUUGCCGAGUCUGGCUUUGAACUUGUGGAUCUUCCUGCCUCAGCCUAUUAACUAGCUGAGAUUACAGCUCUGCUUUUCCCUUUAUAAUAAAAAGAACUUGCAUCCACUCGUUUUUUUUUGUUUUGUUUUUUGUGGUUUUUUUUGGUACCGGGGAUUGAACUCUGGUCCUUGGGCUUGCGCAGCAGGGGGCGAACAGCCACUCGUUUUUAAGUGUUUUCUCUUUUCCCCUUACAAAUUCUGAUUUGUCAAACUCCAAAGGCUUUGAUCCGUCCAUCAAUGGCUGAUUGCCGUGCUGGGGGUGGCACCGGGCAGCCUGGGCCGGCACAGUACUCGCCGCCGAGCUCCACCUGCGGCCCCCAAGGGAGCGUUCUGGCCCACGAGGAAGUCAGGACCGGCGGAAAGGCGCCGCUCCACGCGCUGGGGCACCUGGC
rnacentral:lncRNA from 1 species